GACGAACGCUGGCGGCGUGCUUAACACAUGCAAGUCGAACGGAAAGGCCCCUUUGGGGGUACUCGAGUGGCGAACGGGUGAGUAACACGUGAGUAACCAGCCCUUGACUUCGGGAUAACUUCAGGAAACUGGGGCUAAUACCGGAUAGGAAUCCUUGCUGCAUGGUGGGGGUUGGAAAGCUUCGGCGGUUUUGGAUGGACUCGCGGCUUAUCAGCUUGUUGGGGGGGUAGUGGCUUACCAAGGCUUUGACGGGUAGCCGGCCUGAGAGGGCGACCGGCCACAUUGGGACUGAGAUACGGCCCAGACUCCUACGGGAGGCAGCAGUGGGGAAUAUUGCACAAUGGGCGGAAGCCUGAUGCAGCAACGCCGCGUGCGGGAUGACGGCCUUCGGGUUGUAAACCGCUUUCAGCAGGGGCGAAGCUUGUGGUGACGGUACCUGCAGAAGAAGCACCGGCUAACUACGUG
rnacentral:rRNA from 1 species